CACGUAGGGUGCGAGCGUUGUCCGGAAUUAUUGGGCGUAAAGAGCUCGUAGGCGGUGUGUCGCGUCGGCCGUGAAAACCUGCAGCUUAACUGUGGGCUUGCGGUCGAUACGGGCAUCACUGGAGUUCGGCAGGGGAGACUGGAAUUCCUGGUGUAGCGGUGAAAUGCGCAGAUAUCAGGAAGAACACCCGUGGCGGAAGGCGGCUCUCUGGGACGGUACUGGACGGCUGAAGACGCGAAAGCGUGGGGAGCGAACAGG
rnacentral:rRNA from 1 species